UAGACAGUACACUAGCUGUUCAACAGUAUAUUCAACAGAACAUAAGAGCAGAUUGCUCCAAUAUUGACAAAAUUCUUGAACCAGCUGAAGGCCAAGAUGAAAGUUAUGGAAGUAUGAACAUUUAAGGGAAUUCUGUCUUGAGCUAAACGGACUUGUUGUCAAACUUCAGAGUGAAUGCCAUCCAGAUACUUGCACUCAAAUGACAGCAACUGAACAAUGGAUUUUUCUUUGUGCAGCUCAUAAAGCUCUGAAAGAGUGUCCUGCUAUAGCCUAUACCAGACACAUACUUGAUGGUGCUGCAUGUCUUCUGAAGAGCAAUCAAUGUUUUCCCAGCAGGGUUAGCAUAAAGAAGUAAUCCGUAGCAAAACUAGGAUCACUAUACCUUAGGAGUUACAGAAUAUUUUCACAUGUUUAUUUUCAUCAUUGGUAGAUAUUUGAUGAAUAUGAAAAGGAAACAUUUUUGUGUCAUCGGAUUACUAAAUUUGUGAUGAAUUAGAUGAAAUAUAAUUUGAUGUCCAGGGAUAACCUCAUUGUACCAAUUUUAGAAGAGGAAGUACAGGUUUCAGUUUCUGGGGAAAGUGAAGCA
rnacentral:lncRNA from 1 species